UACGUAGGGUGCAAGCGUUAUCCGGAAUUAUUGGGCGUAAAGGGCUCGUAGGCGGUUUGUUGCGUCGGGAGUGAAAUCCACAGGCUUAACUUGUGGCUUGCUUUCGAUACGGGCAGACUGGAGGCAUGCAGGGGAGAACGGAAUUCCUGGUGUAGCGGUGAAAUGCGUAGAUAUCAGGAGGAACACCUGCGGUGUAGACGGCUUUCUGGACCAUUGUUGACGCUGAGACACGAAAGCGUGGGUAGCAAACAGG
rnacentral:rRNA from 1 species